rnacentral:rRNA from 1 species
GAUUUCUGGCCUGAAACAUUUUGCCGGCCACGGUUUCGUGUGUUAGUGCUUGAUGUUCUGGCCAUCCUUCCAAUCGCUAUUCACCUUUCUUCAUUGAUUGGUGAGUGGUAUUGGAUCUUUUACUUUGAAAAAAUUAGAGUGUUUCAAGCAGGCUUUAUGCUAUGAAUACAUUAGCAUGGAAUAAUAAUUUAGGACUUCGGUUCUAUUUUGUUGGUUUCUAGGACUGAAGUAAUGAUUGAUAGGGAUAGUUGGGGGUGCUAGUAUUCAGAGGCCAGAGGUGAAAUUCUUGGAUUCUCUGAAGACUCACUUAGGCGAAAGCAUU